rnacentral:lncRNA from 1 species
UGCCUUUUUUGGAGAAAACGCUGUCGCGUGCGUCGUCCAGAGGCUCUCCCCCAGGAGGCAGGCGAAAGAGCGGGGCCCUCCUGGGCUGGAGGAGUCUCGGGUGAUGAAAGGCCCGCGUGUUUCAGGCUGACGUCGUGAGAUGCGUCGUCCCCGCGUCGCGACAUCCCUGGGACCGGGAGGCCCCGUUCAAUUGGCAGCUUUUUCUCCUUCCAGGGAACCGAUGACCCUAGGUUGGCUGACAUCAGUCGCUAGACCCGCAGCCCGCAGGCCCCGUUAGUCCCUGAACUGGCUUUCAUGGCCCAAGGUGUCUGUCAGUACUGCUGGGAAAGCUGCCUGUCCUGGACAUUUGCCAUCUGCUGCACCCAGUCCCGAGACCCCAACUCGGUCAUCCGAAGAAGCCACAUCUCUGGACAGCCCAGGAUCACCAGACACCUGAGAAAGAAGAAAAGGGACUCAGAAGAAACAGAGACGAUAAAGGAAGCCGAAGAAAAAUGAAAACUAAAAUGCCAUUCUCAGUCAAUAAAAAGGAACUGGGGGCUAUAGAGAAAGAAACCUCGGGAUGAGAAAGAGCUCUUAGAAAUAAAACAUGAGGGGAAAGUGAGCAAUUCAAUAGGCUUUUAAGAUGAAGUCUUCCAGAAUGUAUAAUGACAGAACCAGAUAGCUGGAAAACAGAAUAGCAGUAACACAGGUGGGUGCUCUUAGGGCUAGCCUGGCACACAAGGCCUCCACAAUGGAGGGGGUGGAUGGGAGGUGGGGGGCUGGUCUGCCACCACCACCAGGGGAAGCCACAGGCACCACCCUCUGGGGACAGCUUCCCUUGGCAAUAAUGUGCACGCAGGAUGCAUGGUGCCCAGGACUGUUCUUACACACAUUCAUUCAUGGGAUCCUCACAACCCAGUGCUAUGCAAUGGAUACAGCUGUUACCCCAUUUUUACUGAUGGGCAACAUCACAAGGCAGGGAGCAGCAGUAGAAUGGCUCCAGAGCCUGUGUUCUUGCCACCACCAUGACUGCAUCUCAAAAGAGAAGUCCAGGUCAGGCACAGUGGCUCAUGCCUGCCUUCCCAGCACUUCAGGAGGCUGAGGCAGGAGUAUCACUUGGGCCCAGGGGUUCAAGACCAGCUUGGGCAAUAUAGUGAGGCCACGUCUCUACAAAAAGUAAUUUUAAAAAACCAGCUGGGCAUGGUGGCACACGCCUGUAGUCCUAGCUACUAGAGAGGCUAAGGUGGGAGGAUUGCUGGAGCCCAGAAGGUGGAGGUUGCAGUGCCCUGUGAUCACACCACUGCACUCCAGCCUGGGUGACAGAGCCAGACCCUGUCUCAAAAAAACAACAAAAACUCAACAGAAGUCCAACAUCUAAAUAAAUUGUCCAGAAAAUAAGGAAAUGAGAGAAAUCAGCAGAGAUAAAUCAAGAAAAUUUCCUAGAACCAAACAGUCAUGUUUUCUGAACAAUGGGUGAAAGGGAAGUUGUAUAUCAAGACACAUCAUUGAGAAUUACCCAAGUAAUGGGGCAAAGAAAAAGAAGAGAUCAUAGGUAAAGAGUCAGAAUUCAGGAAGGCACAAGAGUUCUUGGAACUAGAAGAAAAUGACACAAUACCCUUGAAAUCCUGGGAAUAAAUGAUUUUCAACCAAGCCAAGCUUUUUGUAGCUAGUCGCACUGUUAAGCAUAUGUGAGGUUAGCAUAAAGACUGUGGGGAAAAGCAAGAGAGAUCAGAUUGUUACUGUGUCUGUGUAGAAAGUAGUAGACAUAGGAGACUCCAUUUUGUUUUGUA